UACGUAGGGUGCGAGCGUUGUCCGGAAUUAUUGGGCGUAAAGGGCUCGUAGGUGGCCAACUAAGUCGGACGUGAAAUCCCUCAGCUUAACUGGGGAACUGCGUCCGAUACUGGAUGGCUUGAGUUUGGGAGAGGGAUGCGGAAUUCCAGGUGUAGCGGUGAAAUGCGUAGAUAUCUGGAGGAACACCGGUGGCGAAGGCGGCAUCCUGGACCAACACUGACACUGAGGAGCGAAAGCCAGGGGAGCAAACGGG
rnacentral:rRNA from 1 species